UACGAAGGGGGCUAGCGUUGCUCGGAAUCACUGGGCGUAAAGGGCGCGUAGGCGGCCGGCCAAGUCGGGGGUGAAAGCCUGUGGCUCAACCACAGAAUGGCCCUCGAUACUGGACGGCUCGAGACCGGAAGAGGUGAGUGGAACUGCGAGUGUAGAGGUGAAAUUCGUAGAUAUUCGCAAGAACACCAGUGGCGAAGGCGGCUCACUGGCCCGAUACUGACGCUGAG
rnacentral:rRNA from 1 species